rnacentral:rRNA from 1 species
UACAGAGGUCCCAAGCGUUGUUCGGAUUCAUUGGGCGUAAAGGGCGCGUAGGCGGCGUGUUAAGUCACUUGUGAAAUCUCUAAGCUUAACUUAGAACGGUCAAGUGAUACUGAUGUGCUAGAGUGCAGAAGGGGCAACCGGAAUUCUUGGUGUAGCGGUGAAAUGCGUAGAUAUCAAGAGGAACACCUGAGGUGAAGACGGGUUGCUGGGCUGACACUGACGCUGAGGCGCGAAAGCUAGGGUAGCAAACGGG